rnacentral:rRNA from 1 species
AACGAACGCUGGCGGCAGGCUUAACACAUGCAAGUCGAGCGCCCCGCAAGGGGAGCGGCAGACGGGUGAGUAACGCGUGGGAAUCUACCCAUCUCUACGGAAUAACGCAUGGAAACGUGUGCUAAUACCGUAUACGUCCUUCGGGAGAAAGAUUGAUCGGAGAUGGAUGAGCCCGGGUGGGAUUAGCUAGUUGGGGGGGUAGAGGCCUACCAAGGCGACGAUCCAUAGCUGGUCUGAGAGGAUGAUCAGCCACACUGGGACUGAGACACGGUCCAGACUCCUAGGGGAGGGAGCAGUGGGGAAUAGUGGGCAAUGGGCGCAAGGCUUAUCCAGCCAUGCCGCGUGAGUGAUGAAGGCCCUAGGGUUGUAAAGCUCUUUCACCUGUGAAGAUAAUGACGGUAACCGGAGAAGAAGCCCCGGCUAACUUCGUGCCAGCCGCCGCCGUAAUAC